CCUACGGGUGACAGCAGUGAGGAAUAUUGGUCAAUGGACGCAAGUCUGAACCAGCCAUGCCGCGUGCAGGAAGACGGCUCUAUGAGUUGUAAACUGCUUUUGUACGAGGGUAAACGCAGAUACGCGUAUCUGUCUGAAAGUAUCGUACGAAUAAGGAUCGGCUAACUCCGUGCCAGCAGCCGCGGUAAUACGGAGGAUUCAAGCGUUAUCCGGAUUUAUUGGGUUUAAAGGGUGCGUAGGCGGGCGGAGAAGUUAGACGUGAAAUCCCGAGGAUCAACUUCGGAACUGCCUGGGAUACUGGUCGGCUAGAGAGUAGGAGAGGUAGGCGGAAUGUAUGGUGUAGCGGUGAAAUGCUUAGAGAUCAUACAGAACACCGAUUGCGAAGGCAGCUUACCAAGCUACUUCUGACGUUGAGGCACGAAAGCGUGGGGAGCAAACAGGAUUAGAUACCCCUGUAGUC
rnacentral:rRNA from 1 species